UACAGAGGGGGCAAGCGUUUAUUCGGAAUUAUUGGGCGUAAAGGGCGCGUAGGCGGCUUUGCAAGUGGCGGGUGAAAUCCCUCGGCUUAACCGAGGAACUGCCUGCCAGACUGUGAGGCUUGAGACCGGGAGAGGUGAGUGGAAUUCCCAGUGUAGCGGUGAAAUGCGUAGAUAUUGGGAGGAACACCAGUGGCGAAGGCGGCUCACUGGACCGGAACUGACGCUGAGGCGCGAAAGCCAGGGGAGCGAACGGG
rnacentral:rRNA from 1 species